AACGCAUAUGGCACCCGAGACCUCGGUCGAGGGUAUGUCUGCCUCAGAGUCGGCGUAAAACAUCCCUCCGGGUAAGCGUGAGAAGCGCUGCCUCGUGGAGGGGAGCUGGCCUUCCCACCCGGUCUUGUUAUUCGACGUAAUGAUUAGACAGUGUGUGGGUCCGCCGAAGGAUAGAAACGAGGGACCGGUGGGUUACCGACCACUGGGCUACCACGAUUUGGUGGGAGGGAAGGGGACCUCGUAGUCCCCGGUCCGCAACAUCGUCGUGGGCCCUUGGGAGGUUCCGCGUGGGUCUUCCUCGCCUUACAGGAAAAAAAUCAUCAGCGAAAGCUUCGACCUGAGUUCAGGCAAGAUCACCCGCUGAACUUAA
rnacentral:misc_RNA from 1 species